rnacentral:rRNA from 1 species
GACGGAGGAUGCAAGUGUUAUCCGGAAUCACUGGGCGUAAAGCGUCUGUAGGUGGUUUAAAAAGUCUACUGUUAAAGCUUGAAGCUUAACUUCAAAAAUGCCGUAGAAACUUUUAAACUUGAGUAUGGUAGGGGUAGAGGGAAUUUCCAGUGGAGCGGUGAAAUGCGUAGAUCUUGGAAAGAACACCAACGGCGAAAGCACUCUGCUGGGCCGAACACUGACACUGAGAGACGAAAGCUAGGGGAGCGAAUGGG